GGUGAAGAACGCAGCGAAAUGCGAUAAGUAAUGUGAAUUGCAGAAUUCAGUGAAUCAUCGAAUCUUUGAACGCAUCUUGCGCUCCUUGGUAUUCUGAGGAGCAUGCCUGUCCGAGCGUCAUUGCUGCCCUCAAGCACGGCUUGUGUGUUGGGCCUCCGUCCUCCUCCCGGGGGACGGGCCCGAAAGGCAGCGGCGGCACCGCGUCCGGUCCUCGAGCGUAUGGGGCUUCGUCACCCGCUCUUGUAGGCCCGGCCGGCGCUUGCCGACACAUCAAUCUUUUUUCCAGGUUGACCUCGGAUCAGGUAGGGAUACCCGCUGAACUUAAGCAUAUCAAUAAGCGGAGGA
rnacentral:misc_RNA from 1 species